UACGUAGGGGGCAAGCGUUGUCCGGAUUUAUUGGGCGUAAAGAGCGUGUAGGCGGCCAAGCAGGUCCGCUGUGAAAACUCGAGGCUCAACCUCGAGACGUCGGUGGAAACCGUUUGGCUAGAGUCCGGAAGAGGAGAGUGGAAUUCUCGGUGUAGCGGUGAAAUGCGCAGAUAUCGGGAAGAACACCCGUGGCGAAGGCGGCUCUCUGGGACGGUACUGACGCUGAGACGCGAAAGCGUGGGGAGCGAUCCGG
rnacentral:rRNA from 1 species